AUGUUAGGGGCACUAAGCCAUCCGGUGGAUGGCUCGGCUCGGGCGCCGACGAAGGGCGCGGCAAGCAGCGAUAUGCCAGGGGUAGACGCAUGCAGUUGUUGAACCCUGGAUUCCCGAAUGGGACUUCCUGCCGUAAGGCGUACCCUUCGUGGGUAUGGGAACCCCCCGAACGGAAGCAUCUUAGUAGGGGGAGGAGGAGAAAUCAAUUGAGAUCUCCUGAGUAGGGGCGACCGAAAGGGAGGCAGCUCAAACCAAACCCGCUGGCGAAAGUUAGUGGGGAUGUGGUGUUUUGCCUCAGGUUAGGGGUAACCCAGCUUCCCGAGCCUUCUUAGCCGAAUUCCCCUGGAAUGGGGAACCAUAGAGGGUGAAAGUCCCGUAGGUUAAAAGAAGGUGGGAAGUGAUCUGAGGAAGAGUACCAUCCCCUGGUUUGGGGGUGGGAAGAUGGGGGUCACACGCCUCCAAAGCUAAAUACGUCCCGAGACCGAUAGCGAACUAAGUACCGUGAGGGAAAGCUGAAAAGCACCCUGGAGGGGGUGUGAAAAGUGCCUGAAACCGGAUGGUAACAUAGGGUAAGGCCUGAAAGGAAUGAGCUCACCCAAAGGAGGGAAGCGCAAGCUUCUAGUACGAGGGUGAGGGAUCAGGGUCUUGCCUCUCGUCUUGAAACACGGGCCGGGGAGUUCAUGUCAGUGGCAAGCCUAAGGGGUCAACCCCCGGAGGCGAAGGGAAACCGAGAGUCCGCAACUCAGGCAACUGAGUGAGGGACCAGAUCUGUCAGGGUCUGAAGUCACUGGCAUGAGGCUAGAAACCGGGCGAUCUAGACCAGAGCAGGUCGAAGGCGGGGGAAACCCCGCUGGAGGACCGAAUAGGGGUUCUGACGUGCAAUUCGUUCCCCUGACUCUGGUCUAGGGGCAAAAGGCCAAUCUAGCCCGGUGAUAGCUAGUUCCUUCCGAAAUGCGUCUUAGCGCAGCCUCCCCAGAGGCAGUUUGCGGGGUAGAGUCACUGAUUAGAGGCUCAAGGCGAAAGCCUUGGGAAUCUAGUCAAACUCCGAACCUGCAGACACCUGAGAAGGGGGGAGUGGGUCACUCGGCGUAAGGUUGGGUGGCAAUAGGGGAACAACCCCAACUUGGGUUAAGGCCCCAAAAUGCCUGCUAAGUGCAAAUCUUGAAGGGCGUCCUCAGCCACAGACAGCGGGAAGGUGGGCCCAGCAGCAGCCAUCCUCUAAGGAGUGCGUAACAGCUCACCCGCCGAGGCUGAGGGCCUCCAAGACUGGUCGGGGCUUAAGCAGGCUGCCGAGACCCAAGGGAUGUAGCCUAAUGGGUUACAUCCGGUAGGAAGGCGCUGUGAUUGGGCAGAAGGUGGGCCGAGAGGUCCACUGGACCGAUCACAGGUGCAGAUCCCGGCGGCAGUAAUAGCGAAGGAGGGUGAGAAUCCCUCCCGCCGAAAGGGCAAGGGUUUCACGGCAAUGGUCGUCAGCCGUGAGUGAGCCGGUCCUAAGACGGGGCCCAAAUGGUACCCGCCGAAUGGGAAAGGGGUUAAUAUUCCCCUGCCCGGAGGUAGGUUUGCGGUAACGCUACGGUAACUCCUGACGGAUCGGGAUACGAAGAGUGGAGCCUCCGCUCCAUCCAAGCAGUCAAGUCCCUGGAGAGCCGUAACGGUGAGAAGGGGACGAAGCUGUGAUGGGCUUCCCGUUAGGGGAGUUCUUCCCAUUCCUGGUCCCCGUGAAAAGGGAGUUACAACGAUCCUCCGGACCGUACCUAGAACCGACACUGGUGUCCCUGGGUGAGAAGCCCAAGGCGUAUGGGGGUUAACUCAGGCUAGGGAACUCGGCAAAUUAGCCCCAUAACUUCGGAAUAAGGGGUGCCUACUGCAGUAGUAAAACUGCUGUAGUAGGUCGCAGUGACCAGGGGGAUCUGACUUUUUAAUAAAAAAAUAGGUCCCCGCAAGCCCGUAAGGGUGUGUACGGGGGCUAAAUCCUGGCCACUGGCGGUCGGUUAAACUCGGGUCCAACCGAGCGAAGCCCCGCUGAAGGCCGGGGGUAACUCUGACCCUCUCAAGGUAGCCAAAUGCCUUGCCGGGCAAGUUCCGGCGUGCAUGAAUGGAUCAACGUGAUCCCCACUGUCCCAGCCUGGGGCCCCAUGAACGCCCAGAGUGGGUUCACAGACCCGCAUCCUCCUACACCGAGAGAAGACCCCGUAGAGCUUCACUGCAGCCUGGCGCUGGUUCUCGGGCGUCUACACGUAGAGUAGGUGGGAGACGUCGAAGCUAUCCUUUUGGGGAUAGUGGAGUCGAAAGUGAAACACCACCUGUGGAUGCUCGAGAACCUUACUUCCGAAAGGGAGAACAACGUCAGGUGGGCAGUUCGGCUGGGGCGGCACUCCCGCGAAAAGAUAACACGGGAGCCCAAAGGUCGGCUCAGGCGGUACAGGACGCCGCCGUAGAGUGCAAGGGCAAAAGUCGGCCUGACAAGUCCCUUCAAAGCACGGGGACUUGGCGCGAAAGCGCGGCCUAGCGAACGCUCAUGCCCCCACGUGUGGGGGCUGGGCAUGUCAGAAAAGUUACCUCGGGGAUAACAGGGUCGUCGCGGGCGAGAGCUCCCAUCGACCCCGCGGUUUGCUUCAUCGAUGUCGGCUCUUCCCACCCUGGGGGUGCAGCUGCCCCCAAGGGUAGGGCUGCCCGCCCGUUAAAGGGGAACGUGAGCUGGGUUUAGACCGUCGCGAGACAGGUCGGACUCUAAGGGUAGGAGGUGUAGGGUGCUUGAGGGAAAGGUACCCCAAGUACGAGAGGAACGGGGUAUCGGGGCCUCUAGUCUACCGGUUGUCCGGUCGGGCACUGCCGGGCAGCCACGCCCUAAGGGAUAAUCGCUGAAAGCAUCUAAGCGAGAAUCCUCUCCCGAAACGAGGCACCCUUGCGGGGAAACCCGCGAGAGCCCUCCUCUAUAACAGGGGGUUGAUGGGGUGGGGAUGUGCUCUCCGAGGGCGAAAGUCCGAGGAGUUUAGUCCGCCACUCCCAAUAGGGCGAGCCUUAGCAU
rfam:Candidatus Acidianus copahuensis strain ALE1 ctg7180000000552, whole genome shotgun sequence.